CACACUGGACUGAGACACGGUCCAGACUCCUACGGGAGGCAGCAGUGGGGAAUAUUGCACAAUGGGCGAAAGCCUGAUGCAGCCAUGCCGCGUGUAUGAAGAAGGCCUUCGGGUUGUAAAGUACUUUCAGUUGUGAGGAAGGGGGUAGCGUUAAUAGCGCUAUCUCUUGACGUUAGCAACAGAAGAAGCACCGGCUAACUCCGUGCCAGCAGCCGCGGUAAUACGGAGGGUGCGAGCGUUAAUCGGAAUUACUGGGCGUAAAGCGCAUGCAGGUGGUUCAUUAAGUCAGAUGUGAAAGCCCGGGGCUCAACCUCGGAACUGCAUUUGAAACUGGUGAACUAGAGUACUGUAGAGGGGGGUAGAAUUUCAGGUGUAGCGGUGAAAUGCGUAGAGAUCUGAAGGAAUACCAGUGGCGAAGGCGGCCCCCUGGACAGAUACUGACACUCAGAUGCGAAAGCGUGGGGAGCAAACAGGAUUAGAUACCCUGGUAGUCCACGCCGUAAACGAUGUCUACUUGGAGGUUGUGGCCUUGAGCCGUGGCUUUCGGAGCUAACGCGUUAAGUAGACCGCCUGGGGAGUACGGUCGCAAGAUUAAAACUCAAAUGAAUUGACGGGGGCCCGCACAAGCGGUGGAGCAUGUGGUUUAAUUCGAUGCAACGCGAAGAACCUUACCUACUCUUGACAUCCAGAGAAGCCAGCGGAGAC
rnacentral:rRNA from 1 species